rnacentral:rRNA from 1 species
AUGGCGCCAACACGGUGGCUACUGCUUAUCUGUCUCGCCGGUGCGGCGGGUGGGGUACUCCAAGCUCGCGCCCAGCCUGACAGCAACGGGUUCAUAAGCAUAGACUGCGGCCUUCGAGGCAAGACGAGCUACUUGGAAGACACCACCAAAAUCCCCUAUACUCCGGAUGCCGGCUUCACCGACACCGGCACCAACCACAACAUCUCGGCCGAGUAUUUAACCCCGUCAACCGGCAGGAGCUGGCACAAUCUGCGAAGCUUCGCCACUGGCCCGCGCAAUUGCUACACGCUCCUCUCUCUCACGUCCGGACUCAAGUACCUCGUCUGCCUGGUGAACACAGGCGCCGGGACGCCCUUCAUCUCUAGCCUGAAGCUGAGGCUGCUGCACAGGACACUCUACCCGCAGGCAACCACGGCGCAGGGCCUCGUCCUCUCGUCCAGGCUCAACUUCGGCCCAACCAGCGAAAACAAUGUCAUCAGGUAUCCGGACAACCCACACGACAGAAUAUGGGUCCCUCAGGUCAACUCGGCAACCUGGACUGAGAUAACAACGAUGAACAUGGUGCAACACGAAGAAGGCGACUUGUUCGAAGUGCUGACUGCGGUGAUGCAGACGGCAAUCAUGCCGCGCCGGAAUGCGUCCAACGGCAUAGAGUUCUCCUGGGAUCCCGUGGCGCAGUCGAACGACCCAUCGCCGGGGUACAUCGCCAUCAUGCACUUCUCCGAGCUGCAGCUCCUCACAAGCAACAACGUGCGCGAAUUCUUCGUCAGCAUCAACGGCGAGCCAUGGCACCCAAACGGCUUCACGCCCAAGUACCUCUAUGGCAGCGCCACUUACAAUAGCUUGCCCUCUCGGAAGAGCCAGUACAACAUCUCCAUCAUCGCCGCACCCAACUCAACACUGCCACCUAUACUCAACGCUCUUGAGGUGUUCUACGUCAUCCCUACUAUCAUCAUCGGCACAGACUCCAGGGAUGUGUCUGCCAUGGCUGCGAUCAAGACAAAGUAUAAGGUGAUGAAGAACUGGAUGGGUGACCCAUGCGUUCCUAAUAAUAUGGUAUGGGAUACGUUGACUUGUGACUAUGCCAAUGCAAGCCCUCCAAGGGUCAGAAGCAUAAACAUGUCCUCCAAUCGUCUCAGUGGUGAUAUAUCCUCUUCUUUUGCAAGCCUCGAGAACAUCCAAUACUUGAAUCUGUCAAAUAAUAAUUUGAUAGGCUCAAUCCCAUAUGCUCUUUCACAGUUAAAAUCACUGACAGUUCUAGAUUUGUUAGGUAACCAGCUCAGUGGAUCAAUGCCCUCUGGACUUCUCAAAAGAGUUCAAGAUGGCUCCCUGAAUCUAAGCAAGCUGAUCAUCAAAAUUGUUGCCCCUGUAAUUGUGGUUGUGGUGGUAGCAAUGGCACUAAUCUUUUACUUUCUGAGGCGAAAAAAACAAGGUGAGCCACAAAAUGAUCCGAUGGCGAGCUAUGCAUCAGGAAGCGAUGUCUACGGGGACGGCUCGCUGCGACUUGAGAGUCGUCGGUUCACAUAUGAAGAGCUCAAGAUGAUAACGAACAACUUCCAGCGAGUACUCGGUCGAGGAGGGUUCGGGUACGUCUAUGAUGGUUUCCUAGAAGAUGGCACUCAGGUGGCAGUGAAACUGCGCUCUCAGUCUUCCAAUCAAGGCGUUAAGGAGUUCCUCGCGGAGGCUCAUAUUUUGACCCGAAUUCACCACAAGAAUCUUGUCUCCAUGAUUGGUUACUGCAAUGACGGGGAGUACAUGGCACUUUUCUAUGAGUACAUAAAAAACAUCGAGGGAUGUUUACCCUGGAGACGGAGACUCCGAAUUGCACUUGAAUCUGCGGAAGGAUUAGAGUAUCUGCAUAAGGGAUGCAACCCACCCUUGAUUCAUAGGGAUGUGAAGGCCACAAACAUCCUCUUAAACACGAAGCUGGAGGCUAGGAUUGCCGACUUCGGACUGUCCAAGGCCUUCAAUAGUGAGAGUGACACCUAUGUGUCCACAAACACACUUGUGGGCACGCCGGGAUAUGUCGAUCCUGACGAUGUGUAUAGCUUUGGUGUUGUCCUUUUGGAGUUGAUUACAGGGAAGCCAGCCAUACUGCGGGAGGCAGAGCCAACUAGCAUCAUCCAGUGGGCAAGAAAACGGAUGGCACUAGGCAACAUUGAAAGUGUGGUUGAUGCGCGCAUGCGUGGAAUAUACGAUGUCAACAGUGUGUGGAAGGUGGCAGAUGUCGCACUAAAGUGCACCUCGUAUGCGUCGACGCAACGACCCACAAUGACAGAUGUUGUGGCACAGCUACAGGAGUGCAUCGAGCUCGAGGAGGGCCAUGCCAGUGGAGACAUGAAUGUCGAAUUACACACCACUGGUAGCGGGGGCAACCCGAAUCUGAGUUAUGGUUCUUAUGGAGGUGACCAGUCCGCUGAUAUAAGCCAGAGCAGCACCGCAUUUGACAUGGAAGAAAAUGCUAAGAGGGUACUUGCAAUGUCCAUGGGUCUUGUUGCACGUUAA